rnacentral:rRNA from 1 species
UACGUAGGGUCCGAGCGUUGUCCGGAAUUACUGGGCGUAAAGAGCUCGUAGGUGGUUUGUCGCGUUGUUCGUGAAAACUCACAGCUUAACUGUGGGCGUGCGGGCGAUACGGGCAGACUUGAGUACUGCAGGGGAGACUGGAAUUCCUGGUGUAGCGGUGGAAUGCGCAGAUAUCAGGAGGAACACCAAUUGCGAAGGCGGCGAUCUGGGUCGAUACUGACGCUGAGGUGCGAAAGCCAGGGGAGCAAACGGG